UUCCUCUCCGCUCUGCGGGUGUAAAGGUUCCUCUCCUCUCUCCAGCUUGGCUGCUUGUUCCAGAAGGUUCCACGGGGGCGGGGAGCCCCCACUGCGGCGCCUUUGCCGCAGCGCCGGGCAGGAGGAGGAGGAUGCGGAGGAUGCGCCACCUCUCCCUGGCUGGGAGCCUCAUUCCAAGCCGCUCCCCCUUGCUCCGUUCCCCAGCCUUGAAAACAGAGCGCUGGGAGGUGUUUGCAACUUGGAGGGGUUUGGGGGAUUUUUUUUUGGUGGGUGUUUUUUUUUUAAUUUUUUUUGUUGUCCUCUAAAUAAAUGGAAAGCGGAACUGUCGCUGAUGGAGAUGGAUGAGGCAGGGCUGGCAGCGCCGCAGCUCUGCUCCGGCGUGGCCAUGGCACCGAUGGCAUAAGUGACCUUUCCCAGGCGGUGGGAGAGGGGAUUCCCCCUCCGCCCCAGCAUGCUCCUGCUCGGAAUUCAUUUUAAAUAGCAGGAGUAUUAUUUUUCAUUUUCCUUUCCCCCUCCCAUUUCUCCUUCACUGUUUUGGUUUUGUUGUUUGAUAUUGUUUUUGUUUUGUUUUGUUUUUGUUUUUUUCCGAAGCUUCCUCAUGAUCUUUUAUUUUUUUUCCUGUGUGUGUUUUGAAUUGCAUUUUAAAAUUGCCCUGCUGGAGACACGGCUUGAUUAGAGCUGGAACAAUAGCUCCCUUUUAUUAAUAACGGGAAGGAUUUACAAUCGUACAGCACCUUCCUUGGAAAGCUUUCCAAACCAUUUGCAAACACUCACAAAUUUCAGAUUGCGCAGCCCUUGGCUGUGAGGUGGUGCUGGAAUCUGCAUUGGCAGGUGUGCAAAUGUGGAGACUGUAAAAGCAGCAAGUGAGGAUGGAUGAGCUGUUUUCUGGGGUCAUAUCCAACUCCAGAGAAGAAACCCUGGUGAUUUAUAAUUUUUUUCUUGUCUCUGGUAGGCUUUAUUCUGACCUCUGCUGUAUCUUGUGAGAAGACUGAGUUUGACCCUUUUGGCUACUAAAAAUGGUUCUGUUUUUAAACCUGGUGCUUUUUCCCUUCCCUGUGGUCAUGCAGAAGAGCAAGCAGUGCAAUUAAACAGUACAGCAAAGGGCAGCUCCCUCCCCCUUUCCCUUUCAAAAAAUCCAGAGUUGUGUGUCUUGAACUGCUGCAUAGGCAGAAAACAUACAAAGCCCUUGUCAGCAUUGUGCUGAUGUGUGGCACGUUAAAAAAAAAUACACACAAAAGGGGUGGGGAGAGCUGGUGCCUCCAGGGAGCAAAACUGUGGGGCCCCUUUCCCUCCAAGCCCACAGACCUACAUGGGAUAGUCUAUUCCUCCUAAUUUUGCUCAGGUUGGAGGGAGGGUUGAACAUCUUAAAUGGUGUUGAUGAAGAUCAGGGUCUCCUUGAAUUACAUUUUGUUUUCUCUGUGAACUUGCUCCUGUGAGAUGCAGCUGGGUUAUUCCUCCAUUCCUCAGAGCGCCAGGAAGAAGGGAGACGCUUCCUUACCGAGUGUCCUUUCCUUUGUUGUGUUGCAGAGGUGAUAACCACAGACCUGGUGCUGGUUUCUGCAGCUCACACACGGCUGGGAGAGGCAGCUUCCCGCAGUCAUUAGCACACAGGGAGUGCUGGGGGGUCGUUAAAUGAGGAUAUCACAUCGGGAUUCCAUGCAUGCCGCUGCCUGACCCGGCCCUGGAGAAGCCCCUCAGGAGAAAUUAUUUCACUUGACUGGUUGCUGCAGGGAUUUCUAGCACAGCCAUGGUGUUAUCCUUGUUUUUGGCCAAAAUGAAGUGCAGGGUGGGGAUGAGGUGGCCAGGCCGGGUUUCAUACCCUGCUCCCUGUGGUAGGUGUGUGAACAGUGUGCCCAAAGCCUUGUUUGGAAUAAGGCAGCGUGGACAGGGGUUUGGGUUUUAUUCCCUCAUUAGGGCUGUGCUGGUUUGGAGAUGCACCUUGUAUUCUUCAUGGGCCUUUGCUGGCAGGGAGGUUUGGAGGAGCAAGAAGCUGCCUGUUGGGAUGAUUCCACAUUUUUCAGGCUGGCACACCCUGUGGGACUCCAAAUUACUUUCCUUUGGCAGUUUAGCAUAAACUGAGAAUUGCCUUGUGAGCACUGAACUUUUACCACCCUGCAGAGUUACUCGAGCUACAUCCAUGAUAUUUCCAAGCUAAACAAAACCUGAAUUUCCAGUGCCAAAAAGCGAUACAAACCUCCACUCCUCCUCUGUUCAGGAGAAAACCACAGUCUUUCAAGCUCUGCUCUUAGCCCAAGGAGUUAAAAAGCUGCACUGUGAGAUCUGCAGAGGUGAAAAUAAAAGCCAAAGGCAGACGAGGAACUUCUCCCAUGCCGUGUUGGAGGAGAGGCUGUAGAGCACAGCAGGUGUUGAUGCACAAAUAUUUCUCUUUGUGCUUUCUCUGGAGUGAAGGAGUGGUAACUCCACAGACAUGGCGUCACUCCCCUUCAUUUAAACACCCUCAUGUUGCUGUGGUAUCAAAAUGGUGUUUGAUGAAACCAAAGCUCAGGUGGUGGUGGCUUGGAGUUUAUUUUGUGCUGCUCAAUCCAAUGCAGAAUGUGGGAAGAGCAGCCUGUAGCUUGCAGGUUUGGACUGUGGGGCUUGUGCUAAAGCCUUGCCCUGUAACAUUUCCAGUGUAAUUUCUGAGAUUUUUUUUUUCUCCUGGGCAUUGCACACCGGUAAAAAUCACAUCUGGAUGUAGAUUUAAUACAACAAUUAAGUGUUAAAAAUGGCAAAGUAUAGGAUUCUGUAAUCUAACCAGUCCUAGGGGAUUUACAUCCUUUGCAGUUGUCCUGUUUGGGUAUCAAAUCACAUAGAACUGUCUUUUUUAUGUUUAUUUUCUUUGGCUUUCCCUUAAAAUGCGAUCUUUUGCAGCCUGGAUGGCCACAGUCCUGUCUAGUGAUGAAAGCCCUGUGUUUGGGGAGAACCCUUGUGAGCUCCUGUCCCUGGCAUCGUGGAUAAGAACACCACAGGGAAGAGAGUCAGAAAAUAAAUUACUAAAUGCUGCAUUUCAAAAACGUGAAGGGAGUUUUCUGCACAAAGUCAUCUCAUCAGGAAGAUUUGGAGCUCUAACCCUCAAAAAGAACUGAAAUCAAGAGGUUUACUAAUAUAAAUCCUGUGCUUUGUGUUGUUAAGGCUCCAGAAACCAGCUCUGUGCUCCACUGUUUUCAGCCCCUGAGCCCAUAGCCUCUGUCUUGGCAACAAAUGGGCCUAAAUAUCAAACAGCACCAAUUCCUUCUUGGAGAAAACGAGCAUAAAGCAGAGUGGGUAAGCUAUAAAAUUAGGCCAAUAAUUCAGGCUGGCUUAAAAAGGAGAUAAAAGCCUAGCUGGGAAUUUGAUAUUCAGCUGUCAUAGCGUUCUUUUAAUAAAUACUAUCGAUGAGCAAGGAAGACCUGUAAAUACAUUUUAUCCUGACAAGAUGGUGGCUGGAGCUGGCUGGCUCAAACAAAGGAACACCCUGAGUGUUUCUUGGGGCUCUUUGCUGGAAAACCUCCUGCUUUUUUACAGAAAGGAACCGGCUGUGCACUGGUGGUGGGGAGAACCCUCAUGUUCCCACUGAGAUCCCCGUGAAUCCCAGCUGAUGUAGCCAGGGAGCAGUGCAGUGUCCCCCUUUCCCAGCACACCACACAGAGAUGUUGCUGAGCCAGACCUGAGGGUAGGAAAUGAUGGUCUGAGCCAACAAGUCCUGCUUGCUGUCCUUGUCCAGCAGCUAAUCUUUGCUUUUUGAGACGUUUGCUGAGCGGUCUCAGCGAUGCGUGGCAGCUCCGCCGCUCGGGAAAGGCGCCGCGUUCAAAAUGGAUAAACCUGCCUUUUGAAGCAUUGUGUCUGCCCACUUGUAUUUAUUGGUUUUUCCUCCUCAAAGAGAGGCUGCUGUGUGGACCCCAAGGAUGUUUUCCGCUUCUCCUGCCUUUUUUUUUCCCCUUCAAACUGGAGAGCUGCUAACUUUAUUAGCUCCUUAUAUGGCAGCCCCAUUUUCUCACGCCUUUAAUGGCUCUCUUUUGAUCUGUCCUGUUCUUGCCUUGCUUUUCCUGACAUGAACGUGGUGUUCAAGCUGAGAUGGGUUUAUAACCUGCUCCCUCACUAAUAAAUGGCCUGGCACUUUAAUCCUCUCCAAGCACUGAUAAGAAACAUCCAAAUGUUUUAACUGUGGGGCUGGCUGAGUUGUCUGUAGAUAGCCGACUCUCAGCUACACCCUCCCAGGAGUAAUUUAAAUUGUUCCUUGCAGUGUGUAUCCCAAAGGCCGAGGGUCAUGGAGAGCAGCUCAGCUCCCCUUGUCCUGAGCUGUUUGGCCCCUGGGAAGGGCAGCACACAGGGCAGUGCAGCCAUGUCUCACCCUUGGGUGCUCCUCAUGCUGUUUCUCAUGGAGGACACUGGGCUGGCACAAAUGUGUGUCCUGCAGACACAAGGAUGGUGUUGGUCCUUCAUCACAGCCCCUCUGACCUGCUCAGGGCAGAGUUGUACCUGCUCUGCUCUCCAGCCAUGGUCUGAGUUCUUUAAAAUCUUCGACUGAGCUGGGGGGAUCUGGUUACAGCAGCAUCGCUGGUGUGGUUGCAACCAGGAACAGCUUCCCUGCAAAGCAUUUGAAGAGUAUCACCAUGGUCCAGAGCUUUGUUUUGCGUCACCAGCCGAGCUUUGUGCUGCUCUUCCAGCUGGCUGUUGUGUAAAUGGAACCCUCCUGGCACUCGUCUCAACCCUCUCCUGUCAACAGAGUCGAUGGCUUUGUUUGUGACAGCUCCCAGCCCCUGCGUGUCCCGUGAGAUGGCCGGGUGGCAGCAGUGACUCCGUGUGAGAUUCCCUGGAAGCACCUGGGAGCUGCUGUGGUUUCCUCGUGUCCCUUGGAGGUGCCACCCCAGCAGGGAGGAAGAGCAGUUGGGAUUGCAGCUGCAGCAAAUGCACCCCAUCAGAGAAAGAGAUUUUGUCAUGGAAGAGCUGUUUGAUUUUUUGGUGGUUUUCUGGUUUGGGUUUUUCCUCUCCGAAAUGGAGAGCCCCUUAAAGGUAGAGACAGGUACAAACUGCUCCUUGGGCUUCCCAUCAGGUAAAGAAAUGGAAAGCUGAGCCCAGCUCCUCACUGGAAGUGCGGGUGGAGCGUGUUGGCAGUGCAUUUUCUUGUGUGCACGUGGCUCCAUCACACGUUGUGAAUAAUAGAUGGUUUGCGUGCAAGGAGUCGUCGGGGUUUUUAAUUAAUCAGUAGAUCUCAGUUUGGCAGAGCCCAUCAUCACUGGGGAAACUGAGGCACGGGGCUGCCAAAGGAUGGGCUUGCAGCCACUGGAGCCGGGGAUAAGGCUCGGGGCCACUACAGAUGGAGUCCGUGUGCGUCAGAGACGUGAUUAAAUCAGGAGAUUUGCAUGUUUGUUAAGCCACUACAGCUCGGUGACUUUGACCAGUAGCAAGGUGGACUUGUUGCCGGAAGGUUGCGGUGUCCGGCCGGACUGGGUGGCAAAGGCAGCUCUGACCAAUAAAACACGGGCUUGAUCAAUACCAAAACGUCAUCAGGAGACUUUGGCCAUGGAAAAUACUGAAAUACAGGUUUGUUCUGUGGUGGAAGCGGUGAAGGCUUUAAACACCAACGCUCCUGGCUGUGGGUGUGUGUUUCAUCCUGACCUCACAAUGGGAUCUAAUUUUCAUUUUGGGACAUAGAAAUAGGUGUCUUAUCAGUGCAGUGGCAUAUUUUUGG